rnacentral:rRNA from 1 species
GAUGAACGCUGGCGGCGUGCCUAAUACAUGCAAGUCGAGCGAACAGAUGAGGAGCUUGCUCCUCUGACGUUAGCGGCGGACGGGUGAGUAACACGUGGAUAACCUACCUAUAAGACUGGGAUAACUUCGGGAAACCGGAGCUAAUACCGGAUAAUAUAUUGAACCGCAUGGUUCAAUAGUGAAAGACGGUUUUGCUGUCACUUAUAGAUGGAUCCGCGCCGCAUUAGCUAGUUGGUAAGGUAACGGCUUACCAAGGCAACGAUGCGUAGCCGACCUGAGAGGGUGAUCGGCCACACUGGAACUGAGACACGGUCCAGACUCCUACGGGAGGCAGCAGUAGGGAAUCUUCCGCAAAGGGCGAAAGCUUGACGGAGCAAAGCCGCGUGAGUGAUGAAGGUCUUCGGAUCGUAAAACUCUGUUAUUAGGGAAGAACAAAUGUGUAAGUAACUAUGCACGUCUUGACGGUACCUAAUCAGAAAGCCACGGCUAACUACGUG